GAGGGUCUUAGCUCUACCCUAAGCUACACUAUGAAACUGAACAAACUUUUUAACUUAGGAGCUAUUCAAGUAAGGCACAGCUUACUUGAAACAGGAUACAACCUCUAAUAUUGGGUAAACAUCGAUAUUAUUGCCUAAGUCGGCCUAAGAGCAGCCACCUUUUAAAAAGCGUCAAAGCUUAACCACCAUAUAAUUUAAAUCCCUACUUAUUCCCUGAACCCCUCAUCCCUACUGAGUAAUUUUAUACUUCUAUAAAAGCUAUAAUGCUAGAACUAGUAACAAGAAAAUGCCUUCUCCAAAAUGUAAGUAUAAACCAAAAUGGACACUCCAUUGGUAAUUAACGUAAAUGCACCCACUACAGCAACACAAGCAAGAAAACCCUGUCACCCCCAACGUUAACCUAACACUAGAACAUUCCAGGAAAGAUUAAAAGAGAAAGAAGGAACUCGGCAAACCUUAGCCCCGCCUGUUUACCAAAAACAUCGCCUCUUGAAAAAAUAUAAGAGGUCCAGCCUGCCCAGUGACAAAGUUCAACGGCCGCGGUAUCCUAACCGUGCGAAGGUAGCAUAAUCACUUGUUCCUUAAAUAGGGACUAGUAUCAACGGCAUCACGAGGGCUGCACUGUCUCCUUUCUCCAAUCAGUGAAACUGAUCUCCCCGUGAAGAAGCGGGGAUUGUAAUAUAAGACGAGAAGACCCCAUGGAGCUUUAAGCAAUGAAUUUACCUAUGAUUGAAACUUCUUCUAAUUUCAAAAACCUAAGUUCUAGCUUUUGGCUGGGGGGACCGCGGAGUACAACUUAACCUCCGCAACUAACGGGCUUUGCCCUUAUCUAUGAGCCACAACUCUAAGAAUUAAUAAACUAAUGCCUUUGACCCGAAAACCUCGAUCAAUGGACCAAGUUACCCUGGGGAUAACAGCGCAAUCUACUUUAAGAGCCCCUAUCGACAAGUAGGCUUACGACCUCGAUGUUGGAUCAGGGUAUCCCAGUGGUGCAGCCGCUACUAAUGGUUCGUUUGUUCAACGAUUAAAACCCUACGUGAUCUGAGUAGAAAACCGGAGAGUGAUUACGCUACCUUUGCCCCGGUCAGA
rnacentral:rRNA from 1 species